CAUUGGAGAGAUCCUUUAUUGCUUAUUCAAUGAUCACUAGCUUACUGCACUGGACUUCUCUUGGCUCGCCGAGUCCUAAAUCAGCUUGAAAUGGAUGAAGAGUAUGAGGGAAUUGUUGAGGCAACUGGGGAGGAUUUCUCGGUCGAGCCGACAGAUACCAGGAGACCUUUCCAUGCCUUCCUUGAUGUUGGUCUUGUAAGGACAACUACUGGAAACCGUGUUUUUGGUGCUCUCAAGUUGCAAUUGUCUAUCUUCAGUCAGAUCUUUAGCUUCUAUUCAGUAUCUGCCAACACUCGAAAUUGAAUAUCCUCCUUUCAAAAACUUGCCUUUUUCCAAUUAUCACCCUGCAAAAGCAGCCCCAGGGACUGGCAGACCAGAUUAAUGGCCCUCUGCAGUGGAAAGUAUUGGCAGUGAUAACUUUGCAGUUCCAUUAAGAAUGUUGUGGAUGGCAAAUCUGCUCAAUCUUGUGAUAUUUCAUUUCCAAAAUGAAAUAGAUAAAAGUAUCUUGUCAUCAUGAAACUAAAGUUUUAUGAAAUAAUAGUGGAUUAUCUAAG